rnacentral:lncRNA from 1 species
UGUUAAUUAAAAUGGUCGUUUGGUAUGGAACUUGAAACCUUUUGUUUGUAAAUCUUUAGCUUAAAAAACCUAUUUUAAAUGUUAAAUAUUGAGGAAAAAUGCCAAAAUAGAGCUAAUUCCUUGAUAUAUUAGAUGAUUAUUUCUCAUUACAAGAUGAACAUAUAUAUAGGGAAAGAAAGAAGACAUAAGACCUAACUUGCCUAACUUGCCUAACUUACCUAACUUGCCUAAUUUACAUAAAGAAAGUUGACUAGCCUAAUUCCACUAGCCAUUCAAUACUCAUAGUUGCUUUUAGUUGAUACUCCCCCUCAAGUUGGUGCGUAAAUAUCUCGAAUGCCCAACUUGCUGGGUGAAAGAUGGAAAAUCCUACUUGACACUGCCUUUGUUAAAAUAUCUGCUAGCUGGUCAUCACUCUUCACAUAAGGCAAGUUAAUGGUACCAUCAACCAACCUUUAUUAAGUGCCUAUCCACUUCAACAUGUUUAGUACGAUCAUGUUGAACUGGAUUAUGAGCAAUGCUAAUGGCAGCUUUGUUAUCACAAUAAAGUUUUGAUGGCUUUGCAGAAUUAAAACCUAAUUCUCUCAACAAAGUCCUGAGCCAUAACAAUUCUUGCACACCAUGUGCCAUACCUCUAAAUUCAGCUUCGGCACUGGAUCUAGCCACUACAUGUUGCUUCUUACUGCGCCAAGUAACUAGAUUUCCUCCAACAAAUGUAAAGUAUCCAGAAGUCGAUCUGCGAUCAGUUACUGACCCAGCCCAAUCUGCAUCAGUGUACCCUUCAACUUCUUGAUGUCCAUGAUUGGAAAACAUCAAGCCUUUUCCAGGGGCAGACUUCAAAUACCUGAGAAUGCGUUGUACAUCAUCCAUGUGGGCUUCACUUGGCCUGUGCAUAAAUUGACUCACUACACUUACAGCAUAGGCUAUGUCAGGUCGUGUAUGAGACAAAUAAAUCAACCUCCCAACUAAUCUUUGGUACCUUUCCUUGUUAGCCGGAACUUGAUCAUGAUAGUCUCCCAAUCUAUGGUUUUGCUCAAUUGGUGUGUCUGCAGGUUUACAAGCUAACAUCCCAGUCUCAGUUAAUAAGUCUAUAACAUAUUUCUUUUGAGAAAGAAAAAUGCCAUGCUUUGAUCUUGCAACUUCAAUACCCAAGAAAUAUUUCAGAGUACCCAAGUCCUUCAUUUCAAAUUCCUUGGCUAGAUACUUUUGAAGUUUUUGAAUUUCCUCGACAUCAUUACCUGUAACCACCAUAUCAUCCACAUAAACAAUUAAGGCAGUAAGUUUACCUCUAUCAUGCUUAAGAAAUAGGGUAUGGUCAGCUUGAGUUUGCUUGAACCCAUAACUUCUUAUUGAUUGAGCGAACCUGCCAAACCAUGCCCUUGGUGAUUGUUUCAAUCCAUACAAGGACUUUCUUAACCUGCAUACUUUGCCAAUAUCGCAAGUGGUAGUGAAUCCUGGAGGAAGAUCCAUGUAUACCUCUUCAUCCAAGUCUCCAUGUAAAAAUGCAUUUUUACAUCAAACUGUCGUAGAGGCCACCCUAGAUUUGCUGCCAAUGACAUAAGAACCCUGAUAGUGUUGAUCUUUGCUACCGGAGCAAAUGUCUCCUGAUAAUCAAUGUCAUAGGUUUGAGGAUAACCUUUGGCUACCAGUCUAGCCUUGUAUCUUUCCACUGAACCAUCAGCUUUAUGCUUUACUGUGAACACCCAUCUACACCCAACAGGUUUCUUGCCUUCAGGAAGUGCAACCAGUUCCCAAGUGGAGUUUUUUCGAAGUGCUUCCAUCUCUUCAAUCAUAGCCUUUUUCCAUUUUGGAUCUUUAAGAGCAUCCUGUAACUUAUUAGGAACUGAGACUGAUGACAAUUGGUUUGCAAAAGAUAUAUAAGAGUCUGACAAGCGAUGAGAUGAAACAAAAUUAGAUAUAGGAUAUUGAAUACCCUUUGUAGAAAAAUGACCAUAACGAACAGGGGGUAAAAGGUCGUACCCAGUGCACAAGGCUCCCGCUUUACGCAGGGUCUGGGAGAGGUGAAUGUCGGUUAGCCUUACCCCCAUUUUAUGGAGAGGCUGCUCCCAAGUCUCGAACCCGAGACCUACCGUUCAUGGGCGAAGGCACUUGCCAUCACACCAAGUGCGACCUCUUAUAACGAACAGGGGGUAUCCCUCGAUUUUCUCGAAUAGGAUAAGGAGAAUCCCGAGACUCAUGAUGUGGUUCAUUUGAAUCAUUUGGAUCAUCACUUAAUGAAAUCUCAUGAUUGGACUCAUCAAAUAUAGUAGGCUGAAGAGAAGGAGAAUGAGUGGUUACCUCAGGAUAAUUCGUACUAUUAGCAGCUGAUUGGUCAGAGAGUUGGUCAAUGUGGGGAUCCGUCUGUGGGUGGUCUAUUUCAUCAUCCCUUUUUUCUUUAUCUCCCUUUUUUCUUGUCCUCUCAUACACCUUCAAUAUUUUUUCACCUUGUGCCUCAUCAUUAGGCAAAUUUGCACCAUCACCGACAUCUGACAAGUGUUCAUCUGAAAAAUGCAUACCACCAAUGUCAAGCGGCAACUUCUUUUCCUCCUUACUCCAUAUCUCCCCCUGAAGAGAAGUGACCAAAUCUUCUUUUGAAAAAAAUGCCUCGUUUUCCCUAAAGGUAACAUCCAUAGAGACAAAAAAUUUCCCAGUGGGAGGAUAGUAACAUCGAUACCCUUUCUGAGUAGCAGAAUAGCCAAUAAACACACAUUUGAUGGCUCUAGGAUCCAACUUAUCACGAUUUUGCAUGGGUACGUGAACGUAGUAGACACAACCAAACACUUUUGGAGGAAUAUGAAGGAGUGAAGGAAGAGAAUGAUAUUGGGAAAGGGUCUGGAUAGGUGUUUGAAAUUGGAGAACACGUGAUGGCAUGCGAUUGAUAAGAAAAACAGCUGUGUGAAUGGCAUCACCCCAAAAACGUUUAAGAACGUGCAUAGCAAAACAUAAAGAGCGAGCCACAUCCAAGAGAUGACGAUUUUUACGUUCUGCUAUACCGUUCCGUUGAGGAGUAUGUGGACAAGAUGUUUGAUGAAUGAUACCGUGUUGUUGAAAAAAUGUUCCAAGUCCAUAAUUCAAAUAUUCUUUCCCAUUAUCAGAUCAAACAACUUAAAUUUUAGCAUGAAAUUGGGUUUGAAUCAUUUGAUGAAAGAUUGGAAAAAUAGACAUAACCUCACUAUUAUUUUUUAGUAAGUAUACCCAAGAAACUCGAGUGCAGUCAUCAAUGAGAGACAAAGUAUUUAGCACCAGUAUAAGUAGGAAUAUGAAAUGGUCCCCAAACAUCAGAAUGAAUAAGAGAGAAAGGAGCAUUACUUUUAUGGGAACUUAAAGGAAAUGAGACACGAUGAUUUUUAGAAAGAAUGCAAGUUUCACAAUGGAAAUCAGAAACCUUGACUUUAGAAAAUAAAGAAGGGAAUAGAUAUUGCAGGUACUGAAAGGAAGGGUGUCCCAAUCUUUUGUGCCAUAACCAAAUUUUUUCAGAAGCUUCAAAUUGUUUGGCCUCCGCUUGACAACUGUAACUUGUCUUCUCAAAAUCUGGUGGUAAGUCCAAGUAGUAUAGACCUCCCCUCUCUCUACCAUGACCAAUCAAUGCUUUCGUUCGAAUAUUCUGAAACCAACAAUGGGUAGGAGAAAAGAUGGCAAGACAGUUUAGUUGAUUUGUAAGUUUACCAAUGGAAAGCAAAUUGUGAGAAAGAUUAGGAACAUGUAAAACAUAUGAGAGAGAUAAGCCUGGUGUUAAUGAGAUGGAGCCUGCUCCAAGCACUGGAGUAGAAAUACCAUUAGCAACUUUAACGGUAUUUAAAGGUGGAGUAGUGUGAGAAACAAACCAUGUAGAGUUAUUGGUCAUGUGGUCAGAAGCCCCUGAAUCAAUGAUCCAAGGUUUAUUGGGAGGAACAAUUGUAGUGUUCAAGGCAAAACCAAAGUUACCUGCAUCGACUAAGGAAGUAGAAGCAGUAGUAGGAGAAACUAAGUGAGCAGAUUGAUCCACCCGAGGUAUGGAAGGCGUUGGUGUCAGGUGUGCUUGUGAUCCACCAAUGCCUUUCUUUUGAUUUUCCUUCUUUUGAACCCACCAAUCAGGAUAUCCAUGCAGCUUGAAGCAAGUGUCUCUAGUAUGCUUAUCCUUGUCACAAUAAGUACACUUCCUUGUAUCAGUAGUUUUGGGUCCACCUAAUCGAGAAUUGGAGACUCCACGGGGAAAUCGAGACGGAGCAACUACCAUGGCGGAUCCUUCCACUUGUGGGCCAACCAACAUAAUGGUUUGCCUACUUGCUUCAGCAUUCACAAGAGCAUAAGCAGCACGAACAGAAUGUAGAGUUGUUUGAGUCAAAACUUGACUGCGAACAUGAUCUAAAUCAGGAUCAAGACCAGCUAGAAAAUCAUACAAUCUUUCUUCCGAAAUUUCUGUCUCUCGGGUAGCAAUAUCAUCAGCGCACUUCAAUUUUCCAGGACUCAAGAAAUCAAUUUCUUGCCAUGUUUGCUGAAGUUUACCAUAAUAUGCAGAUAAAGGUUCUCCAUUUUGGCGAGUUGCCAGUGCUUGACGGCGAAGUUCGUAUAACUUUGAUGCAUCUUUUUCAAUUGAGUAAGUUUGGGUAACAGCAUCCCAAACAUCUUUUGCAGUAGAGAGUCGGAGAAAAAUGGCCCGUACAUCUCUGGUCAUGGAGUUGAGUAACCAAGAUUGAACCAUGGCAUUCUCUUCCUCCCAUAUAGCAUACAAGCAUCAGCUUCUACUGGUGCCACUUUUGUUCCACUGACAGAAGACCAUUUACCUCUGCCAGUGAUGUAGAUGCGAACACUUUGGGACCAUGAGGAAUGGUUGGACCCAUCCAACUUGUCUGGGGUGAUAUGUAGAGACAUAUCACUUUGAGUAACAGUAGCUGAAAAGUAGCUGAAACAGUGGUCUUGGAGUCACCCAUUAUUACUGCCUCAGAGGUUAUGGGUAAAUUUGUUGGGUGAUUCCAACGGGUAUGGCUUAUGGGGUAUUGGGUAGUAUAUUUUUUUUUUGUGUGGAAAGAUUUCUGGGUUUUGCAGAGAUACUGCAAAUGGGAAGAAUAUGGGAAAAGAUGCAGCGGAAUAUGUAUGGCUAACAAGCUGGAUAUGGGUAAUAAUGUUGGUAGAUAUGGCCAAAUGAAAAAAGAGUAAGAUUGGAUUGGUAUGAAAGUAGAAGACCUGCAGAAUAGCAGGUCUUAUUGGGUAGAUGGCAGUAGUGCCAGUAAGUGAAUCAGAAUAGAAACUCUUUUUGGAUCAGAAUUGCUCUGAUACCAUGCCAAAAUAGAGCUAAUUCCUUGAUAUAUUAGAUGAUUAUUUCUCAUUACAAGAUGAACAUAUAUAUAGGGAAAGAAAGAAAACAUAAGACCUAACUUUGCCUAACUUGCCUAACU